CGUCUAGGCGGCCUUUUAAGUCUGAUGUGAAAAUGCGGGGCUCAACUCCGUAUUGCGUUGGAAACUGGAAGGCUAGAGUACCAGAGAGGUGGGCGGAACUACAAGUGUAGAGGUGAAAUUCGUAGAUAUUUGUAGGAAUGCCGAUUGGGAAGCCAGCUCACUGGAUGAAUACUGACGCUGAAGCGCGAAAGCGUGGGGAGCAAACG
rnacentral:rRNA from 1 species